rnacentral:tRNA from 1 species
ACCUGGGUGGCUCAGUUGGUUAAGCAUCUGACUUCGGCUCAGAUUAUGAUUUUGCGGUUUGUGGGUUUGAGGCCCAUGUCAGGUU